GAUGAUGAAAUAUGCCAAAAUCUAAUAGAAAGAAAAAAAAGAUUAGCUAGUACUGUACUACAAUUCCUCAAAUCAACUCCCUUUAAGACUACAUAGAAAUUUCAGAGUGAACUGUGACAAAGAAAUUAUAGUAUGGAGGCAAUUAAUGCUGUAAGAUUGACACCUCUAUCUGUUCGUUCUGAUAGGAAAAAUGAGGCCAAGAAAAUCCCAUCACACCCCAUUUCUUUCCCAUUCAAGAAUCUUUGUUCAGUUGAGAAUUUAUCAAGAAAUGUUCAAGGGGGUUUAGUACUUGUAUCAUCAGUUCUAAAUACAGGCUUAGCUAAAGCAUUAACAUAUGAGGAGACAAUUGAACAAUCCGAAACAAUCCCAGGUGCUGAGUUUGAUGCAACUGCAGUUGUGGAAACUGUGACCACUUUUGCAUCAGAGAAUCCUAUUAUUAUAGCUGGUGGAUUUGCUGCUUUGGCUUUGCCAAUUGUUCUGUUUCAGGUUCUUGGAAAGCCUCCCAAGUCAUGGGGUGUUGAGUCUGCCAAAACAGCUUAUGCAAAAUUGGCAGAUGAUGCAGGUGCACAGUUGCUUGAUAUAAGAGCAACUGCAGAAUUGAGGGAAGUAGGGACUCCUGAUAUUAGGGGUUUGAAGAAAAAGCCAGUUACUGUUGUUUAUAAGGCUGAAGAUAAGACUGGUUUCUUAAAAAAACUGUCUUUGAAGUUCAAGGAGCCUGAGAAUACUACAUUGUUCAUUCUAGACAAAUUUGAUGGGAACUCUGAACUGGUUGCGGAGUUAGUCACAGAAAAUGGAUUUAAAGCUGCUUAUGCAAUUAAAGAUGGUGCUGAAGGACCCCGGGGAUGGCUGAACAGCAGCCUUCCUUGGAUUCUUCCUAAGAAAACAUUGGGUCUUGAUCUGAGCAAUCUGUCUGAUGCUCUUGAUGGUGUUCUUGGGGAAGGUUCUGAUGCUGUUACUGUAGGCUUAGGUGUUGCUGCAGCUACUGGUCUGGGGAUUUUAGCCUUCUCAGAGGUAGAAACAAUUCUCCAACUUUUGGGUUCAGCUGCACUUGUCCAACUGGUUAGCAAGAAACUCCUGUUUGCAGAGGACAGAAAGAAAACUCUGCAACAAGUUGAUGAGUUCCUCACCACUAAGGUUGCUCCAAAGGAGCUGGUAGAUGAGAUUAAGCAAAUAGGGAAGGCUCUUCUUCCAGACUCGGUGAGUAGCAAUGCUCUACCUGCACCAGUAGAGGCAAGCCCUGCUGCAGCCACCAGCACUGUUGAGGAAACUGAAUCAGUUCCUAAAGAGGAUAUUGCACCGCCUAAAGUAGAAGCAAUUUCCCCACCUACUCCAGAAGUCAGUUCAGUCCCUAACGCUGAAGUCAAAGCUGAUGCACUACCUGAAAGUUCAAGGCCACUCUCGCCUUAUCCUAAUUAUCCUGAUCUCAAGCCUCCAACAUCGCCGAUGCCUUCACAACCAUAGAACUGGACAUGCACAGGCUGCCAUAUAGCCUAGGUAACAACAAGCAUAGCUAGCUAUAGCCUAGUUUGGAAUGUUGGAAGUGAUUAUUUCUCAAUAUUUGAGUCUAAGGGGUAUCUACAGCAAAUGAUCAAGGCAUGUCCAAGUUAAACUCUACUGCUUCCUUUCCUAUAGUGUUGUCACUUUUCGCUUUAUCUUUUUUUAUUUGAAAUGUAUUUAAUACAGGCAUUAAAUAAUGAGGAAGUUUUGAGAUUAUAA